CGCGUAGGUGGUAGUGCAAGUCUGAGGUGGAAUCUUAGGGCUUAACCCUAAAAUUGCCUUGGAAACUGUAUUACUUGAGUCAGUGAGGGGAGGGUAGAAUUCCCGGUGUAGCGGUGAAAUGCGUAGAUAUCGGGAGGAAGGCCUGUGGCGAAGGCGGCCCUCUGGCGCUGAACUGACACUGAGGCGCGAAAGCGUGGGUAGCAAACAGGAUUAGAUACCCUGGUAGUCCACGCCCUAAACGGUGGGUACUAGGUGUAGGGCUCGUAAGGGUUCUGUGCCGAAGCGAAAGCAUUAAGUACCCCGCCUGGGGAGUACGGCCGCAAGGUUGAA
rnacentral:rRNA from 1 species